rnacentral:rRNA from 1 species
UACGUAGGGGGCAAGCGUUGUCCGGAAUCAUUGGGCGUAAAGAGCGUGUAGGCGGCCCGAUAAGUCCGCUGUGAAAGUCCAGGGCUCAACCCUGGGAUGCCGGUGGAUACUGUCGGGCUCGAGUCCGGAAGAGGAGUGUGGAAUUCCUGGUGUAGCGGUGAAAUGCGUAGAUAUCAGGAGGAACACCGGUGGUGUAGACGGCUCUCUGGACCGUAACUGACGCUGAGACACGAAAGCGUGGGUAGCAAACAGG